rnacentral:lncRNA from 1 species
UCCACUGAAUCGCUUGUCUUUUUGAGGAUCAUAGUUUUUCAGACCAAUCUGGAGUUCAAUGGUCUCAGUAAAUUUGCGCUGUUUCUCCUUUGACUGAGUUACAAUGGUUGAUAUAGCUUCUCUAAGCGCAUCACUCUGAAGCUUACUGUAAAUAAGAUAUCCAAAACCUUUCAGGAAAGAAAACUAUAAACCACCUCACAAACUUCAUAAGUUUGCAUAACGAAGGGUUAAUCAUGGCACCAUAAACAAUUCAAAAUCACAAAAUGAACACCCCGAAACAAUGCAUAGUUCAAGCAAAUAAUUCUCAGAAUGGUUCCCCUGGCACUGAUGACAAUCCAAAUUCACAACUUAAAAUUCACAAUCUAAUCAACGAGACAAAACAUUGAGUGCUAACUAAAAGUGAACACUAAGAAUACCUAACGAAAACGCUAUUUCAAAAUAUUUCAAAGGUUAAAGUACCUAACAGAUUAUCCUAUAAAACACAAAUGAAAGAAGGAACCAACUCUUCUAAUUCGAGUCCAGUAAAUCAAUCAUCAAUAGCAAAAUUAAAAUGACCUCAACUCUGAAUCAACAACUGAUUAUUUCACCGAUGAAAGCACCCAACAGAUUAUCCUAUAAAAUACAAAUAACGAAAGGGUCCAAACUCUCCUAAUUCGAUUCCAUAAAUCAAUAAUCAAUAGCAAAAUAUACAUCACCUCAUCUUUGAAUCUUUGUUCUUUCCACAAACAAUAAAAUUUUACCUGCGAAACAAGGUUACAAAGUCAUCAAAAACUUAAAGAAGUCUUAAAAUGAAAUUAGAUCUGCGAUGAAAUGGGCGUUAUAGUAAAAGAGGGUUUAGACAGAGGGGGGGUGAGUAGCUACCGCCAACAAGAGAUGAGAAAAACCCUGGCCAGAUUUUCUAGGCUUUGUAGAAAACAUAUAGGCGGGUCAGUCGAAAUAGUAAAACUAAUCUUGGGCCACUGGCAGUCUAGCCCAAUUUCCUUGAAUUAUGAAUACAGCCCAGUUUAAUACUAGAUUGGUUCAGCCCAAAAAACUUAAAUAUUUGUUUGUUUAUUAUUAUUAUUAUCUAAUUUUAAUUUAAUUUUAACAUGAAAUUUUAAAAAUUAAUCAUCAUAUUUAAAAAAAAGUAUUUUUUAAAUUGCUUAAUUUAUCUGUUAUAUUUUUAUUUUCCAAUACCUUUAAAAAUAUUUUUAUUUUUAAAUUUAGUUUCAUAAAAUUUGAUGUGUUAUUUAAUGGUUAAAUUAAAAAUUUUAAUAACAAAAAGACUUAAUUAAUAUAAUAUCAAAAAAUUAAAUGUAUAAUUAAAAUUUUUAAAGUUUAAAAACUAAUUUAAAAUAAGGAUUAUAAUUUAAUUGAGGGAAAUUUUUACAACAACUUAAAAAAUUACAAAACUCAUGCAAUCUUGUAAAAUAAUUGAGAAUCUGUUUUCUUUUUCUUCUAAGUUGUAACAUUGAAUAUGUUCCUCUUCUUUUUCGCCCUGAAAUUGAAUUCAUUAACUCUUGCAUUUUGAACACACUUUACCUUCUCCAAAUUUACAAAUCUAUUUUGAAAUUGCAUAUCUUCUUGAAUUAAUCUGAAAUUUUCCGAAUCUCGAAAUUCCUUCAAAUUAUUUAUAGUUCGAUUCUAUCUAACCUUGCAAAAUAUUCAAGACAAAUUUUUAAAAAUUAUUUAUUACAUUUUUUGGAAAAGACGUAAUUUAUAUAUAUUUAUUUUAUUUUCAAAUAAAGUUAACAUUAUUUACGCAAUAUAUAUAAUAAUUAUUUUAUGAAAAAAAUACAUAUUUCUUAUAAAGUUUAAAUAUUUUUAUUUUUCAUUUUUUGCUAUGUGCCAAAAUAAGAGAUUGACACAUGUUGCUAUACUAUCAGUUGUCAUGCCAUAUCAACCUAUUUUAUUAGGUAUCUAAAAUAAAUAUCAAAUUAGAUUAUGAUUUUUAAAUUUAAGUAUUAAUUAAAUCUAAAAAUAUUAGAUACCAAAUAGAUAAAAAAAAUCACCAAAUUUAAGUACCUUCUUAUAUAUUAUCCCAUUUGUUAACUUGGUUGUAACUAAAAAGUUUAUACACUGUAGUAAAUGUCCCUACGCACCAUAAUGGGGAAAAUCAUUGACUUUUUUUACUACAAAAAAAACUUUUUUAGUUUUUCAUUUAAUUUUUUUAUUUCUUUUAGCCUUUAAUUUUUAUUUGUUAUCAAAUCACUUCAAAAUAAAUCAAAACACCUCAGUAUUUAAUUAGUUUAAGAUUUUAAAUAAAAAUUUUAAAUAUUUUUUUAUAAUAAUAGUCUUUUCAAAAGUCAUUUGUCAUAUUACAAGAUUUAUAUUUUUAAUAUAAUUGAAGAGUUGUAUCAUGCAAAAAGAUAUGGGUGAGGUUGAUAGUACGAAGAAAAAUUUGAGUCCGCUGUAUUUUGCAAAGAAUUUUGUGUGAUAAGUCCAGAUUUUGUAUUUACAUUUGGCAACCGAACCUUGGUGGUCUGCAAAGUUGCCUACACAUCUUUGUUGAUUCUUUAUAAAUAAGGCCUGCAACUUUGGUUGCAGACACUCUUGCUCUUAUCUCUUUUUUUUUCCUUUCUGAAAACAUUUCUGCUUAGAAUCACACACACACACACACACACACACACACAUCAGUGUCUUUUAGUGUUUGCCAAAGGCUUAACAUACUUCAAAUGCAGAAACAGAUUUUUCAGCCCUUGAUCUCCUGCAAGAAUAUCAUCAUGUGAGUUCAAUUGAUUCCUCUUCUCUGUUCUUAAAAAUCUUUUGAUUCAUUCAAUGUUGGUUUCCAACAGAAUCACAAAAAUGUUGCUUUUGGUUUCCAAGAAGUUGUUGCUUGUCUCUGUAAAUAGUUUUAGAAAAAAAAAUCUGAUUGAGAUUUGAGAUUUGUUGGUAUCCUAUUAUAAUUCAGAUAAGCUAUAUCAGUAUAAUAUCUUUUUUCAAUUUAAAUUAGAAUUCUCUUUCCUGUAGAUUUGGUUGUAUGUAAUUGCACUGUUUUCUUAUAUGAUUGUUAGGCACAAUUAAAAUAUGACUACAAAAAUAUAAUCCUUUAAAUAUAUUAAAAGAUUUAAGAAAAAAAAGUUGAUUGAGUCUUAAUUUGAUUGGUAUGGGUAUUGUUAGUAAUGCAGGAAGAUAUGGUUUUAAGUACACUGAAAGGCUAGGUAAUUUUUAAUACUCAAUUUAACUCAAAUGGUUAUUUUUUAUUUUUUCUAGUAAAAAUCAUAACUUAAAGUGCUGCAAAGAUAAAAAUUUUAAGUAUUAAGAAAGUUCAUGCUUAAUUGUUCUUAUAAUUUCUCAGGAACUAUGACUUGAUCACAAUAUAUAUAUAUAUGUGUGCAUGGUUUAUGAAUUAUUUGGCAAUAAAAUUAUCUGAACUUAAUCAUUGAGAUAAUUUGAGAUUCUUAACCUUCUGUCUCUGUGUGUAGGUCUUUACAGCUGAAAUCUGCCUGAAAUUAUCUGGAAAAGAAAAGUGUUUUGUCUACAACUUUGGUGAUUAAGGGAGAAUAAUGGGGGAUAAUACAUUGGAUUGGGCUAGUUUACUUGCUGGAUUACCAGACUCUGAUGAAUUGAUGUCACUGUUAGUGAAUGAUGUCAUAGUUGAGAAACCAGAAGAUGAACAGCCGCAAGAAGGCAGCAAAUUCCUAGUGCAACCUACAACAGUGAUACCACAGCAGCAGGACAUUCAUAAUGUCGCGACAGAUGUUGAAACUGGUUCUUCUUCUUGUCGUCUAAAUGAUCAGAAUAAGAUUAUCAGAAAUGGAGGGUGUUUAAUUAAUCCAUUAGGGUUCCCAUAUAGGUGUCGAAUGCAGGUUUUGGCUGCAGAUGCACCAUCAGGAAGUGGAGAGUUGCUCGUAAUGAAUGAUUUACCUGUUUACAAGAGAGGGAGGAACAAUAUACAAGAAGCCAUUGAAGAGGCUGAGCAAAAGAAGAGGAAGAAUAAGAUCAAAAACAGAAUUUCAGCUGAAAAAUCUCGAGCCAAGUCUAAGGUGUGUGUGUGUAGUAGUAGUAGAACGUAUAUAUAUAUGCCAGCAUACUACUACUAGUCGAAAAUUACAAUUGAUCCUUUGUCUUUCCUGUUCCUAGAAUUUGAAUCUCAACAUAUGUAACUCUUCUCCGAUACUAAGGCUACAAUCUUGUUUUGAAGGAGCAUACAAGAUUUCUGGAAGAAAAAGUGGAGCAAUUGAGAAAUGAGAAUGCACAUUUAAAGAAAUUACUUUCCCUGGUGAGAGACCUCACGUUUCUUCUUGACAAGAAACUGAGAAAAUAUACAAUAUUUUCCUAUUUGCCUUGUAUUACUUGUUGAUUUUGGCCUUUCUCAUCUUGCAUGUGGAUCAGGAAGCUGCAUCAACUGAGAGACUCCCAGAGGUACUGAUUUUAUAUAUUCAAUGAACUUAAUAUCCAUAUAUCAAAAUUUCCAAAGGAAAGCAAUGCAUAUCUAUAUUUUAUAACUUACCUUCAUAAAAACCCACCAAACUUAUCAGAUAUUGUCUAAAUCUUGUAAACAAUCCCAUCUUUGUGCAUCAUCAUGUAUUAUACCAGUGUUACCUCACAUCGACUAAAUUAAGUCUUAUAUUCAGAUCGGAUGCUUAAAAAAUGUUGGAGAUUUUCUUCCAUUGUAUGUACAGGAAAGAGGAGAUCUAUGGGAAAAGGCAAAACGGUGUUUAGAAUUGAAAGAACUGCAAACCUAUAUAGGAGCUAUAUAUGGAGACUAAUGAGGAGGUUUAAGCUGACCAAGAUCAAUAGUGGUGGGACCGAAUAACAGUAUGGGAUGGCAUGGUUUCCUUUUAAAUACAUUAUAGGAUCUUCAUUCUACAUCAAAUAUAUAAAGAAAAGCUUUUUGUUUGCCUUUAUUCGACAUGGUUUUCAAAAUAAAGAUAAUUAGAUUUGCAGUGAGCUAGAAGUAUAUCACACUACUGCAAAGUUUUUGAUAAUUUAUAUGUUAUUAUUGCCUGCAAAAGAACAUGGCUUCAAUUAUUUCCUAAUAGAUAGAAUCAUGAUUCACCUGGAUCUUGAGAAAACUACACAAUAUUAGGAGCUGCAAAUAGUUUUAAUCUCUUUUGAGUUCAUCAUUCAAAAAAGAAGGAAGAUGUAUAUUUAUAAGCAUAUUUUACAAUCAAGAAAGAUAAAUAUGGCUGGAUCGACUCAGUCAUCAGAUCUCAGUAUUAAUGGAUUGAUAGAGUGCAAAUGCUAAAAACUGCAUAAACAUUUUUUAUCAAUCAAACUUUAUAUUAGAACCUACAAUUACAAACAGUGGCCAGUUAAUGAGAUUUACAGACUUUAUGAUCCGAAACAGAUAAAGCUCUCGCCCCAGUAAUAAUAUAAGAAAAUCAACAUCCAAUAAUUCAACACAUACUCUGAAUCCUCAUCAACCGUUGAGAACCACUCCUCCUUCCCUCAGCCAUAAGCGAUCAUGUUUUUCUGUAUCAUGAAAGUUGCAUCACCGAUAUAACUCUCAGAUGGAGGCAUAUCCCGAAUGGUGGGCAAACAAGGGAGACCAGUUAAAGGGAAGGGAGAGGAGAGUGAAGAAGUGAUACCUGUGGCUUUACAUCCAUUACCUUACCCCUCUUCAUUAGAAAAUGCGACAGUUAGGGAGAAUCAGCAUCAGGUACUGAUGCAAUCCACCAAAUCCUUUUGUCUGAUGAUUUUGGUCUCUUAGGGGAAAAAACCAAAAUGACUGAUCAGAUUUAGAGCUCAUAAUGCAUAAAGACUCCAAGAGAGAGCUUGCACUUGAUUAAUGUUCUUUUUCUGCCUAAGCAGAAAAGAUUCCUCUUGGUUUUGGCUCUUUUAUGUGCAAAUGAAUGACUUAUCAAUCAACAGCAUUUCCUUGUGAUUUACAGGCAUUUAAUGCAGGCUCAUGUAUCACUUUACUAUCUCUUCAUCCAAAUGCUGCCUUAAAAAAUAGCAUAGCAGUUAAAACAUUUGAUUAAAAUUUGAUAGUUCCUUAGUUGACAGUCUACAUACGGUGCCUUGGCUUCCAAAUGAAAGCCGCACAGUCCUUUGCGUAAUGACAUAUCAAUCCGAGCAUUUCAAUAGAUCUGGCAUUACAAACAAGAAAAAACCAAUUAAAAAGAAAAAGGGAAAGAGGUGUUAUGAAACAAAGAGGAUGGUCUAAGUGUCUAAGAUGGUAUGCAUAAGCUUACUGUUCCAGCAAAGCGACUUAAGGAAAAAUAGUUCCAUUUCAAAUUGUGUUUAUAAACAGUAUGUUUAAAUUCAUCUAAAAUAUAAUGCAGAAGGGUAUGCCUAGCCUACAAGUAUCUCUAAAACAUCUAUUCAACUUAAUGCAGCUUGGAAGAAAAAUGUUUGUCGUAUUUCCCACAAUAGCUACGAUAUUAAUUAAAAGGGCCACUGUACGGUACAUAGUUGCUGGACUGGUAAUAUCAAAUAUGUAUUUAUUUGCAAACCCAAUCUGAAUAUACCACUUCUCAAAAGUUGUACACACUGAUGAAAUUAUCUACAUGAUGAUAAACAACUGUGCAAGCCAUAGCAAUGCUUAGACUAGAAAGAGGUAGAUAUAGACCACCGGGGAGAACUUAUGACAAAGCAUACCUUCCAAUAGCUUGUUUAAUAAACUCUUCCCCGCAAAUUCUUACGUCAGAUUUCAUAUAUCAAUUUCAUAAGCAAAACUAGAAGGCUUGUUGAUGUUUGGUUUUCAAGUAAGAUUUUUUAUGUCGAUUUCAUAAACAACACUUUGAGCUUUCCCACCACUUCAAGAUCGAGGUUGUCCAAGUACAUCCAAAAUAGAAGGUCAUUCAGUUUGAGUCAAAAUGCAAAAAGUUGAACAAUGUAUAAUUCUAGUUUCUAAGAAGAUAGGGCAGGAAAAAGAAAUUUCAUAACACAUAACUAAUCUCAGCUAUGAACAAUUAGUUUUUACUGUUCAUGAGAACCUUAAAGGAGCAAAUCUAAGGAUUCCAUAAUCCAACAUUUGAUUCAACAAUAGUCCAUUCAGAGCUGUUACCAGCUUGUCAAAGCAUAGCAUGCCAAAUUUCCUCCAUAAUCACUAGGAUAAAUAAAAUCUUGGAAAAGAAAACAAAUAGACAGCUAAACCUGCAAGGUAAGCUUGUCAAUACCCGCACAAUACAAUACAUCUUGGAAAUGAGAUCUAAUCAAAGUUAUGCACAACCCAAAUAACGCUUAUAGUAGCCAAUAUAGUGAUAAAAGAGUAAUUACAAAGAGUAAAAUUAUGUUAUGCGAAGUGAUUAAAAGAGUCAUUCUACCAAUUAUCUAAAGCAAAUCAAGAAAAUACACAUAGAUAAAAUAAUUCAUAAAAAGCGACUGGUUAGCCCCAAUCCGAAUAUGCCAAUUGUCCAUAAAAAUUAUGUCCGACGCUAUAAAUAAGAUUUAGGCUUGCGUCUCCAUAAAAAAAUGUGGCCGCUUAUCUACCGGAAACCAUGCUAAAAACAUAAGAGUUCUUUCUCAACAAAGAGCCUUUAUUUCAAUCUUUAUGAUUUUUGAUAAUUCUUAUGGCUUUCAAAAAUUCCAUACCAUUUUCACGUAAGAUAUCAAUCAAAUUAAUAAGGGAAAUACUGCAGGCAAAUAGGAAAAUAGUACUAUGACCAGGAUGCAUAGUCCCAAAUUUAAUCGACCAACUCAACUGAUGAAGAAGUCUUAUACUUGAUCCAACAAGGUUAGUCAAGCUAACAUUUAUUUUUAUGAAACUCCACCUAGCUUAUUAAAGGACACCAACAAUAUACAGGAUAACUAGACUAAAUCUUGCAUUCACUACAAUGGUGGUUUUAAGAUAGGUACAACCAUUCUUUCAGUGAUCCAACCGAAAAAUACCUUACAGUCAAAUCUCUGCCUUUGACUCACUACCAUUUUCCUAGAUGCAGUUGUCUUUCCACUUUCUUCUUUUUGAUUAAUUAAACAUAUUCACAGUCAACUAAAUUGCCUGAUGGUGAUGGUAUUAUGAUUAUGUAUUUAAUUAAUUCUUUGAUAGUACAAAACAACGCAAACUAAUCAUGUCUUCGAAAGAUAAGACAUAACUUGUCUUAUCUCCAAUGAAUGCCUUGAAAAAAAGAAACUAUUAGUGUUGUUUGAUUUCUUCAGUAGAUCCAAAAUAAAAUGAACUUGUCAAAUUGGGAUAAAGUAUCUUUGUCCUUGCAUAUUAAUAUCAAGAUUUCAAACCCUAUAGAAGAUAUUUCAUCAUGUCAAUUUAACUACAAAACCAAGGAGGAGUAAUUUCUCCCCUUUCCAUUUGAAACCUGUUUUUCAGAUUGGUAGUAACACAAAUAGGAAUACGAUUCAUAUCAUGUAUGGAAUCCAAUUACGCGAGGAAAUACGCAUGCUAAACACCGCAUUAAUUAAGUUCAAGAGACUCAGAUCAGGAACGAACUAUGUCCCCACUUAGUUGUUCGAACUAAAACGAUAUUAGCACACAGGACUGCUCUAUACAGAGUCAAGUAUGGUGCUUUAGUGCCAUAUGGUAUAUCUAUCUGGAUUCUGGACCAUUAUAAACAUGCCAUACUUGGCACAAUAGACUUUGGUGCCAUAUGGUAUAGCUAUCUUCACCAUUAUAAGCCUGCCAUACUUGGCACAAAAGACAGAUACAGAUACAGCAAAAGUUACCUAGUAGACACAUGAUAUAAUUCAUGAAAAAGUUGCCCAAUAAGCAUGCCGUACUUGGCACAAAAGACGGAUACACAUACUUGGAAAAGAUAUUUGAUAUUAAGACUUUUUAUCAUCAGCUCCUUUACAAGGAAAGAAUCCAUAUAAGGAAGAAGUAUCAAUGCCAAAAAUAAUUGCCUUUUUCAACUUUAAAGAUGGACACAAAAAUGAAUGGUUGGUUUCAGACGCCCUAUAUAUAUGAUGUUGUGCAUUACAAUGACCAAUUUCUUCCUAGCAUAUUGAUAUUAGUUCCUCAAGUCAGUAACAAAAUGAUAGAAGAUAGGUAUUAUGCAAUCCCAAGAAAUUGCAAUGCAUUGCUCCUAGCAAUGGCAUUGUAUAUCGAAUCAAUGAUUUACCAGAUAUUUCGAGUGAUUUCAAGAAUAAAAAAAAUCAAUAUUUUAUUAUAAGAUAUUUUUUAUUAAUUAUUUAAUGGAUAAAUAAAUGGAAAAGAUGAAAAGAUGUUAUCUAUCAGUUUUCCAUGUUGCCGUCGGCCAUAAGAGAAAAAUAAGAAGUUUUGAGCUUUAUUCAAUUUGGUCUUUUCCAUCAAAAUUCAUCAUUUUCACUUAAAAAUCAAAGGAAUUUUCAUAGCCUCUAAGAGGAAAAAGUGACAAGAAGAUUCUGGUGAGUAUGAAUAUCAUAUUGGAUUCAAGAGAAUUGAAGUUGGAGGAAAGAAAAAAAAAUCAAUCUAAGGCUUGAAAUCAUAAUUUUCGAUUUUAAUGUGUCGAAAAAAUAUAAAUUUUGUAUUCAAGUAAGAAAAAAAUAUCUAUUAAUACUAUUAUUAUUUAAGAAUUUUACUUAACUAUAUGAUGAAUUAAUCCAACCUCAAUUUACUUGUGAAUUUAUUAAAAAAGAUAAUUAUUUUAUAUAUUGUUACUGGAGUAAAAAAAUUCUAUCUAGAUUGAUGUCAUAGAGUAUAAUAAAAUAAUAAUUAAAAAAAACUUGGCAUUAAUUUGGAUCGCUUGUUGAGUUUUUUACUCCAUUGACAUUGGACAGAAUAAUUACCCUACUAAAGGUCUGUUAUUUAUAUCAAACAACAAAUAAUAUUUUAAAAUCUUUUUAUCUAAAAUAAAUAUGAUUUUAAAGGUAUUUUUUAUCUUUUGGACCCUUUUUAUCAUUAAUAAAAUAAACAUUUUUUGGACCCUUUUUAUCCAUGGGCCUUGAACAACUGCACUUCAAAACAGUCUCAGGACCAACCUUAAACUUAUUCUUCGAAGUCCCACCAAUAAGUUUAUCCUUAAAAAAACUACCCACCCGUUGGAUCAUUUAUAGCCAUAUUGCCCUCCUCUUGUCACUGAACUUUCUUAGUGGCUCGGCCAACGUCUUUGUCAUCUCUCCCAUUUCAGUGGUCAACAAAACUAUUAAGAGAAGAAUCCAUUUUGAUGCAUUCUAAGUAUAGUUUAUAUAUAUAUAUAUAUAUAUAUAUCUUGUGUGUCAUAUGGCAUGUUUAUAGUGGUUCAGAUAAAGAUACCAUAUGGCACCAAAGUCAUGUGUACAUUCCAUAUUAAGAAUAAACAAUUCUACCACCAUUAUAAACAUGCCAUACGUGGCACAAAAGAAAGACAUAUAACAAAUAUUGUCGAAGAGACGCAUGUCACCGCUCAUGGCUGUCCUUAUCUUUUGGGUUAGGAUGCAAUGUUUUUUAAAUUAUUGUAUCUUCUAUAUAUGAGAAUUAAAUAUUUUGAUACAAACAUGCCAUACUUAGCACAAAAGACAUAAAAAUACAUAAAAAGUUUAUUAAUAGACGCACCCUACUAUUUUCUAUCUUUUGAGUAAAAAAAUGGAGUGUUUUGGUAAUAAUGUAUAUUCUAUAUAUUUAAUCUUUCCUUAUAAGGAUGCACAUUGUGUUCUUGUAAAAAUUAAAUUUUUGAAAAUAAAUCUGACAUACUUGGCACAAAACAACAUACAGCAAAAGUUGCCUAAUACACUCACCUUAUCAUUUAUGUCUCUCUCUUUUGGGUAAAAAAUGCAGUGUUUUAGGUAUUAAUACAUAUCCUGAUUUUUGAAAUAUUUAUAUUAGCAUAUUUAACAUUAAAAUUUUUAAAAAGGAAAGAGUCCAUAUAUGGAAGAUAUACUACUGCCAAAAUUAAUUACCUUCUUUAAAUUAAAAGAUAGAUAUGGUAAUCAAUAGCUGGUCCCAAAUAGCCCUAUAAAUAUGAUGGUUUGCAACUCAGUGCACCAAAGCCCUAUUCCUAUGGCAAAACAUCCUUUUCCUCCUCUCAUACUAAGAUUAGUUCUUCAAGUCAGUAGUAAAAUGAUUCAGGGCAUGUGUUAUGCCAUGGAACUCGAAAUACUGCAUUGCUCCAAGCAAUGACAUCACAUAUCGGAUUAGUGACUUACCAGAUGUACUUAUCACUCCAUGCUCUUUCAUGAUGGCGAUGUUUGCAUCAUCAGGGAGAUGAGUCCACUGUUACAGUUUUCAGUGAUCUUAGAAUUAUCUGAUGCUGGAGAAGUAGUUCAAGGAAAGGGAGAAAGACCUGGAAGAGGUCUCAGUCCUAGAAUGUGUUUUCUUCCUCUUCUUCUUCCAUAGCACGCCUUUUUCAACAGAGACUGAAACUUGCCACAGAGGUUACUUUGCCACCAUGAAAUUGCUUCCUGGUUGGAUAGAUCAGCUAAACCAACCUACGUUGAACACAUUAAGAUUUUAUUGAUAUUUUACAUAUCAAGGUUCUAUCCUACUGUUUUGGUACAAAAUAUAGGAGUGACACCAACUUUUUUAAGAAUCAGAAAAAAAACACAAUUCAAAAUUUCAAAUUCAUAAUGAUAUCGAUAAGUGUUCAGAAAAUUCGUGAGUAAAUAUGCUGAUAACAAAAUUUGUACUAUGCAAGCUUGUAAACACCAACAAGGACAUGCCAAUUGUUAAAAAUGUUGUCCAACUGCUUGAUCCAACAUCAAGCAAUUAAAUGGGGUAAUCAUACGUGAUAAUCGUAGUUGAAUAAAAAAAGAAAAUUACGUGUCAACAGUUCCACUCUGACUCCGAUAUGUUAAAGGGAGUAGUCUGGAAGACUUAUAAAACAACUUCGCAACCGAACAAUUCUCAAUUGGUCUCACCACAAAAGAUUCCUGCCCAUUUAAGGUUUUUUAGCACAAAUCAUAUAUUAAGACACUUUCUUUCAGAGUUCUAGUUAAGCAUGGCAAAAGAACAUGGCCAUAUUGAUAAGAACAUGACACUUACAUCAGUAAAAUCAGAAGAAGUGCGAAGGACAUUGGGUAGUCGCCGGUUAGGCAAUUGAUUGCGAUUGUCGAUACUUCCUAAUGACCGAACCGUCUGGCAAGGCUUCACAAAUCGCCCUUGGGCAGAAUUGUGCCCAAAACAAAGAUGUGGGCCAUGCUCGUAAGAUUAAACCAAACAUCCAUACGACGAACAUAGCAAAUCAAGAAAUUUUUUUUUUUUUCAUUUCUCUUUUGGUCGGAUUUUGUUUUUUGAAAUUUCAAACUGUUAAUGAAAAUUCGAGAUUUUUAAUCUUUAAUUCGAUAAAAUAAUAUUUAUAUUAUGAUUUUUAAUAUUAUUUACUAUUUAGUAAAAAUUUAUUUUAAAUAUUUAAAAAUAUUAAUAUUUCAUGUAAAUGAGAAUAAUCUAUCAUUUUUACAUAAUAUAUAAAAUAAUAUAAUAUUUUUGUAUUAUUUCCAAUAUUUUAAUUAAGAAAUAUUUGUUUUAAAUUAAAAAAGAUAAAAUUAAUUAAAAAUAAAAUAGCUUGUAAGCCCAAACACGUUCAAACAGUUAACCCGCUCAUAUAGAUUCUCUUUUCUCAGCCACAAAGACCAUUUCUUUCUACGAGCCGCAAGUCAAUAUCCGCCUCUGAGUAAGCGGAUAGUCACUGCCAUCAGGGGAAUUUUUGACAUAUCCUUGUUAUUAACACGCGACGUUUCAAAAGUAGAAUAAAAUUAUUUAUAAUAUUAUGAUUAAAAACAAAAUUAAACCAAGUUUCAAAUAAACCAGGCACUCAAAGUUGUAAUAAAAUUUUGACACAUUAGUUGGUUUCAUUUUACACUCUUGCUAAAAAGCUCACACCAAAACCAAGGCCAGUAUCAUUCCAGGAUUUCUACCACAUGGUUACAAUCAGCAGUCAAAAUCCAUACGCCUAACAAGGAUGCCAAUUGCCUAAGGAAGAUUUUCGUGUGGACUAAGCAAAUAUCAGAUGGCAAUUUAACACUAACAUGAAACUCAAGUUGAUAAGCAAAUCAAAACUUCAAUGUCUAAUAUUUAUAACAUUUCUAGGGAACAACAGAACAUAACAUAAACUUGAACAUUCUAAGUAAAAGAGAAGAAAAAAACUGCUUUUAGUAUUAAAUCCCAACUACUACUUUCAGUCCGUACAUAACAGAAGGUAAAACAUAAACUCAAAAGAUCCUGUUUGAAGGACCCAUGGUGCUCUUCAAGUAGAGGCACCUCACCUGCAAUCAAGACAAAUUCAAACAGAAUAUGUAAUCAGCAUCGGGAAAAUAAUAGCAAAAUCACAUAUUUAUGCUCUACCAAGAACACGCGUGUGUAUGUUAUAUGCAGUAUGCUGAAAGGAGCAAUCAAGACAAAUUCAAACAGAAUAUGUAAUCAGCAUCGGGAAAAUAAUAGCAAAAUCACAUAUUUAUGCUCUACCAAGAACACGCGUGUGUAUGUUAUAUGCAGUAUGCUGAAAGGAGCAAUCAACCUAAACAAACCAAAGAUAAGAAGACUUACAUUUUGCCAAUUUUUCUUCAACAAAGAAACAAGGAAAUUGACGCUCAUUUGCACAUUUUGGAAGAUCUGCUUCUCCUCCAUUGCAACAUUCCCAACAGCAACUCCCAUGCAUAGAACCUUUUUCAGCUGGAACUUAACCAUUGCCUUUGUUUCAUUCACCUUCGACUCUAGGGAUUCCUGGUGAGUGACAAGGGUUGGGAAUUUACCUGUGUGUGACAACAGCAAGAUAAAAAAAAAAUUCAUGUCAGAACUGAUAAAUGCGAAACCCACAAACUAGGAUCUGCGACAAUGCUUUAGGAGGGCAAUCCAAGAACAGAUGCUCUUAUACAGCACUUGCCUGCUUUGUUGAGACCAGGACCCAAAAGACGAGGGAUUUGCUUGAUGACAGAUUCAGAAGCCAGAAAGGCAUGAUACUUCUUGGCAAGCUUCUUAACUAACUUCUUAUUCUUGUUUAGUUUCUUCAAUGCUUCCACAUCCAUAUAAUCCAAACCUAUCUUCUCUGCCUGCAGAACAAAGUAAACAAUUUAUGUUGGCCCUUUUUGACCAAAGUCCAAACAAUACAUUAUAUCAAAUUACAAAGGAUUUAUGCUGAAUAUCAAAGUCCAAACAAUUUAAUUUGACAUUCUUAUAGGAAAUAUAAACAAAGUUUCACAUAAGAAAGCUGCAAAAUCACCUCUUCAACGUGUUGAGCAUCUCCAAGCAUGCAAAUCUUCAUUUUGGGGCGAGGAAUAUGUGGAAGCUUCACAGACCCAC